rnacentral:lncRNA from 1 species
GAUGGAAGUGGGUGAUGAUAUUCUUGUUAGGUAACACCAUCUGUUGUGUUACAACAGCUGCUUUGCUGAACAUUAUUGACAGGAAAAGGGGUGGAGUCUUAAAUGAGAGCAGGAGAAUGAAACAAAUACGUCUGAAAGGUUGGAUGGAAAAGUCAAUCCAAUCAAUCGACUACAAUGGUGAAACUGAUCAAUUAGUGCCUAACACGGUUAUGCCAACUGCUGAUUGCUAAAACAUGGGCUACUAUCAAUAUACAGAAUAUUCAUGUCUCCUGUGUUUUUUGUUUUAUGCACAAAUAUGUCUUUGGUUACCUCAAAACCUAUGUCUGGUUACAACCAAACUACUGUAUAUUUUUUUAUGAAUCAUGGUGGAUAGAAAAGUUGGAGGAUGAGUCAAAGAAGAGAAAGAGUAUGUGGUAACAUACAAUUUUAAUUUGGAGCCAACCUUCCCCCUUCCCUCCAUUCCUGAACUACCCCAACAUUUUUACUUAUUACUCACAUUUAUAAUAACUUUAUUUUUUUAUAACAAACUUGCAACAGUAACUUGAAACCAGUUUUUGAUACAAAUAUAUAGCUUGCUACAUUUCUGAGUCAAUGUUUCAUCUCAGAGUCAACAUUUUAAGGUUGAACAUUAAAGGGUCAUGCAAAAUAAUAUAGAAACAGCAGUGCAAUUUAUCCAUUAACUUACCAGAAAUAUAUUGUUUCAUUCUAUUUUUAUGAUAAAAUAUAACAACUUGUGUACAGUAUAUCAAAAUAAGCAGUUCAUAUAUUUAAUUAAAUUUUAAUUUUUUUUUUAAUUUAAAGUUUUUAAGCUCCUUAUAUUAUACAGAAGCAGCAAUUAUCCUAUAUGUGUGGUCUCACCAUGAAAUGAGACGCAUCAUUGGUGAAAUCAUAUUGAGAUAUUCACCAAAACAGGCCAAAGUCAAAGUAAUUUUGAUUUUAAUGUUUUUGAAUAACUUGAUACUUAUAUUUUAUGAUUGUAUACUUUGUAAGUGAAUUUUCUUGCCAAAACAGUGUUCUCUGCACAUAUUCUGUAAUUCUAGUCAUAUUAUUUGUACAGGUUAGUUUAUCUUUGAGGCGGAUUUCCUCAAAAUGUGGCUCUUAUACACCUAAAUUUAAAUGCUCACAUCUCUGGAUUUACUUAUAGUAGGGAAGCCAUUCAAAGACCAAAUGAAAACUGAUGAUGUGAUCUACCCAAAUAUAAACUUUUUUUUUGAAUUUCUAACCAUGAGACUCAUUUUGUAAUCACACCAGUAAUAUCUACAGUGGAAUCUGCUUCUUUUGGAUGCCCCCUAUUAAGGGAGACAUUUUCAAAUGUAAAACAAGGAAAAAUAUACUGUAUACACUACACCAACACUUGAAAUGUUAGCUUAGUAUUUUAUAUAUUUAUUUAAAAAGCAUUAUAUUAAAUUUAGCUAAAAAAAUAUAAUUUUUUUUUGGUCAAAAUAUAUAUGUUUUGUGGUAUAGGCCUACAUCGUUUUGUUAGAGCAAUUUUAAUAGCUUUCAAAACAAUACCAAAAGUAUUUUGUGACAUACUAGCUUCAAUACCAUUUCGGUAUAAAAACGGCAAAAUUAGCCAUUUCGACAUUCUACAUAUAAUACUCCAAAAUAAAAAAAUGCAUGUCUGAAAUUUUUAUAGGUGUUUCAUUGUGUUUGUGGUCAGUAAUUCAAGAAGAUACCAGACGAAAAAGGUUGAUAGCUUAGUGUUUUUAUUUAUAAAAUGUGUACUAAUAAAUAUGUUUUUAGCUAUUUUUUUUUGUAAUAGAGCAGUAUUUAUCCCAUGGUGUUAUUUACAUUUUGUCAUUUAUAAGAACUCAGUUUCAGACAGAACCUUAAAGAUAUACAGUUAUAUUGCAAAAACAAUACACCACCACGGUCUGUAUGUUGACGGAUAUUAUGAAAUACAUAUAAAAAAAGACAUACCGAUAGGUCUAAUUAAAUAAAACGGGUGUUAUGAAUACACAGGGUGUAAUAUGCCAUGAAUUAUUUAAAUAAACAUAUUAAUUUUGUCUUUUGAAUUAGGCCUCCAAGUGAAUAUGUUAGU